rnacentral:ncRNA from 2 species
GCGGCGACACGCGACUGGCGGCAUCGAGGAUGGGCAACCAUCGGGGAGCUCGUCGUGGGGGCCGACCGCCUGGGCGCCCACG